AAACACACUUGUAAUGAGGUGUAGCUUCUUUACUAAAAAAAAAAGAAAAAGAAAUAGAGAAUCUUUUAGGCAAAAUAAGGUCACAAAUAUUCAAGAGUUGAUGUGAUUUGUUGGUUUCACAUGAGAAAGACACAUCUGAUGCUUUUAUCUUUCAAAAUAUAUGUUUAUUUUCAAAUCCUUUGAACUUCAGUGACAUGAAAGGCUAACAAAUAUAAUUAUUCUAUCUACAAAUGUCACAAACUGUGGUUGGACUGACCUGAGAUCUUUAAGAAUAUCAAGUGAAGCUAAAGUGCAAAUAUUGCUGCUUGGGCCUCAGUAUGGAGUCCAUCCAUCUGAUCCCCUUCAACGUGACUAAUGGCGUCCUCGCUGUGAUGUCACAGGAAGUUCCCCUCACUGAAUGUCCAGGUAUUGAGGCAGAACAUCGUUCCAGAACUGCUGAGGGUCUUCCUGUUUCUUCUUCACGGCCGUCUGCUUCGUCCUCGGCGCUGGCGUGGGCGCUUCUUCCUGUUUGGCUUUUCUAUCCAAUGAAGAAAGCUUCUGUGCUUCAUCUUUUCCUGUUUUUGCUACUUCAUCUUCCUCUUUCUCCUCCUCUUCUAAUUCUACUCCUUCCUCUUCUUCAUCUUCUCCCUCCUCUUCCUCUUCAUUUACUUCCUCCUCUUCAUUUCCAACUUCUUCACCCUCCUCUUCUUCAUCUUCUCCCUCCUCUUCCUCUUCAUUCACUUCCUCCUCUUCAUCUUCAACUUCUUCACCCUCCUCCUCUUCAUUUUCUUCCUCCUCCUCCUCUUCAUCUUCAUUCUCAACUUCUUCCUCUUCUCCCUCCUCCUCCUUUCCAACUUCUUCACCCUCCUCUUCAUUUUCUUCCUCCUCUUCAUCCUCAACUUCUUCCUCCUCCUCUUCAUCUUCCUCCUCCUCCUCUUCUACACUUUCAUCUUCUUCCUCCUCUCCUUCCUCCUCUUCACUCUCCAUACCUUCUUUAUCUGACUUUCCCUCUUUGUCGUGUUCUUCAUCUUCUUCAUCUUCCUCUUUGUCAUCAGUUGCUUCAUCAUCUAUGGAAGCUUCUUCUUCAUUUUCCGUGUCACUGGUUUGCUCUGCCUCUUCUUCAGCUGAGCGAAUCUCUUCCUCGUCAUCUUCCUCUCUUGGACUCUCCUCUGCUGACUCCAUUUCAUGCAUCUGACUGUCAGAGGAGUCAUCACCUUUUUGUUCCUCCUCUUCCUCACUAA
rnacentral:lncRNA from 1 species